GAGGCCAGAACCGAUUCUUUACUGUCUCCUGCCUUCCCCAUUUAUGAGGAGAUUAAUUUUGCUAUGGAAGAAUUCGAGAAGGCUCUCUCUGAAGGAUCAGACUCCAUUGUGGACACCACUGAUCGGAAGUUGGAAUAUUACACAAGUGCCAGUGAAGACAAAAACAGUGUGAUAUCUGUUACAGAAGCAUCUACUGACAAAUAUCCAUUAAAUAACUAUGAGGACAUAGAAGAGCCUGAUAAGGACAAAGGGGCAUUACUUUCUGGAAGCC